ensembl:lncRNA
UUCCUGAUCGGUACCAGGACCCGAGUUGUCUCUGGAGACACGUUCUUCAUGGUUCUGGUGACUCCACCCCAGCCGUUCCUGAUCAGCGAUCAGCGGGGUGCUUUCCUAUUUAAGGUGGAUGGAGGACACAAUUUGACGCCAGAAGAUUGCCUCAGUUUUGGAUUCCUGUCGACCUCCUUGGAUUCUGACCUCUACCAGGAUUUUGGAUAUUCAGCACAUGGACCAUAUCACCACCGCCAUAACCCACCUCUCAUCUCACCCAGUGCCCCAUCCACCAGGACGCCCCGCUUCUCUCCACCUCUGCUCCCUCUCCUGCGCUGCCCCGGCUCUCUACCUCUCCCUCCUCCAGCCAACACAUACACCCCCCCACAGUAAGUCUGCUGAACACCUCUGCCUGCCUACAAAGGAUUGUGACACCAGAACAUUUGCUCACCUGUGUUCUCCCUCCUCUAGACGCUGAGCUGUUGUUGCAGUUUCAACCACAGAAUUAUCUGUGCAUUUUAAGUUCCUCCUUAUAAAUAAAUCAUGUUUUCAUCCAUUUUUGGUCAGUGUUGUAUUCUGCAUGUCUUGGGUUAAGUACCUUCCUCCAAACAUGACAAGCUCCCACCUCUGCGUUAGCUUUGGGUUAGCUUGUAGCUAGUUCGACCGGGUGUCGUCAGUUGAUUCCAGCCUUACAGCCCCACCCUCAGCUCCACCUCUCUUCCCUUUUAUGGAAUUGUCUGGGCUUGACGGAACCUGUGACACGGUCAAAAUGGCAGUGGUGGCCACCUCCCAUUUGGCCUCAAAAACGUGUUACUGGAGCCUAUGGAAAGGAGAUGUCCAGUAUAUUGUCGAUGGGUGAGGAGUGAACACCACCUCACCCCUGCGCCUCACCCCUGCCACGUGGACCUCAAGGGAUAAACCAUCAAUCCUGCUCAGUGGUCAUAUUUCCUGGCGGGGUUACCCAUGAAGACAGUGGGAGGGUUAAACACUUACGUGAAGUGGAUGUUAUUAUAAUGUGUAUGAGUAUACUGAUUAACUUGUUAAACACAUACUGAUCUGGUGUACUUAAGAUCUGAAAUGAAUCAUUGCAAGAAAGAUAUUCAUUUUAAACCCAUCAUUGAUUAAAGCACAGAUUAGUCAAACAUUUGAUUUAAACAUCUUGUUCAUUCAACACACUUGGUUAUUUCAACCUGUAAGUUGUAAAGUCACGCGGGAACUUUGAGGCGGUUGAACUUUAUUCAGAGUGAGGAUGCAGGAGUUUCUGCUGCCUGAGAAUGCCAUGUCUCAGGACUGGAGCAGGGUCCUCUGUUUUGGGCCAGACAGAUGGUGUGUCUGCAAAAUGAAAGUUCAUUUCCGGCCAAUUUGUUGGUGAAAAUUUGACCACUGGUACGUUACAUCACGGGGUACCGUAUUUCUGCACAGGCGUUUGAUGGGUUAAUAUUAAUUUGAUAAAUUGUUUAACCUCAUUAAACUGUCGGAUUUAUUUUAUAAACCCAGACAUCACACCUUUCUAAUUCACUCAGUGAAGCUCUUAAAACAAACAAGGUCAUGUUGCAUCAGGGCUCAUUCAUUGUUUCCGCUGAUAUCACUUAGAAUCACCAUUUAUAAUCAUUUGCCUUACAUCAUCAUUGAUAGCAGAAAUAUAGUAACAAAUAGAUGUUAUAAACUAUAUUUUUGUCUCUGUGUCAAAUGAUUUUAAAGCGUUGUUUCCCUGGCAUUACCCAAAUGACCUAGUUUCAUCAUCAAUCGAAUAUUAAAGGCUCAUUAAUAUCGAUAAUCCAUAUUUUAUGGAAUAAUACAUUUUAUUGAAUACCUUUAUAUUCUAUUGACAAUUUAUUAAAAGCAACCAUUUACAAAACAUUACAACACAUAACUUUAGUUUCGUAACACGUAAUUCUCGUUUCGUAACACGUACCUUUGGUAUUGUAACACAUAACGUAACUUGUUUUGUAGCACAUAGUUCUCGAUUUGGAACAGUUAACUUUUCGUAUGUAACUUGAAACUUUUGUUUUUUUAACUUGCAGAAAAAGAUUAAUGUACAAAUUUUAAAUCACAACUCUUGGUCUACAGUUACAAAACUCAAGUCUACUUGUUACAAAAUAUCCGUCCCAAUUCUAGCGUCCUUUCCCAAAGAACCAAUGGCAGGCGUUGUCUGACUAGCCAAUCAUGAGUCUUGGACUCCUGUCCAAUCAUGGCAACAGAGCAAAGGUCUACUGCUCACCGUAGAUAUGUAUAUAAACAUAUGAGUGUUUAUUUACAUAUCUAUACGGCGCACAACCAAACACGCAUACGAUCUCGUUCUUUACCAGUAGGUGGCAGUAAUUCUUAGAAAAAUCAAACUGAUGUAAAUAAAGAACUUAAAUUGGCUCAUAAGACAAAACCUGCCAUUGGUUCUGUGGAAAGGAUGCAAGAAUUGGGACAAAAUGUAUUUUACAUGUAGAUUUGAAUUUUGUAACUGUGGACUGAGCUGUGUGUGUUUUGAGUUGUGAUUUGAAACUAGCACAUAUGCGUCUCUGCAAGUUACAAAAGGAAAGUUGUUACAAAACAUGAAUUUCAUGCCAAAAAACAAAAGUUAGUUAUAAAACACGAUACUUGUAAUAUUGUCCUAAUCCUUGCUGCGUAUAUUUUUAGAUAAUCAAAUGCAACUUCCUGUUGUGCAUUAGACUUUUGAAAUGUUCAUUUAAUUUUUUUCUGAAGCAUAAAUGUGUAUUUUAUUUUAAUAUUAAAAUAUACAUAUAUUUACUUUAAUAAUAAAACAAAACACGUUCUUAUAUUUAACAACCCAUCACACAUAUAAAGUACAUAUCUAUAUAUACUUACCGUAAAUCCUCUAAUACAGGCCGGUAUUCAAUUAAAGGCCGGGUCUCCAAUUUUGGCCGGUGUCGGAGUCAGCGGAGGUGAAUAAUGGCCGGUCUCUUAUUGUGGCCAGGUGGAAUGUGGUAACAAGCAAGUACGGGGGCGGUUGUGUCAUCGUCUCACUUCGUAGAGCGUCGGUACUGACACGCGAUCGUUCAUGUCGGUUCAUUUCCUUUAAUGUUUUCUAUCUUUUAUUUGCGCCUGAUGUGUUUCGCUGCAGUGGAGCGGGGAGCAUCACCUUGUCCUCCGACGCACCGAUCACUGAUGCGACCGCCAAGCAGCGAGCACUCCGCUGUUUUUGCGGUCGGUAGAUCUUUUAGAACUGCAGUUCAAAGGUAACUCAUGAGGUGAACAUAUAUGAACCCAGGUAGCAGUUUUUCUUUAGGAUUGAGAGGAGAUGCAGGAAGAUAAUAAACAGGCAGGACAGAAAAAUAGUCAAAUAAAAACAAGUUAGUUUUUGUACAUG